AAAAAAGUUAACACAGGAACGUUUUUACCGAGCCAAGAUUGAUAGAGAGUUUCAUUUGGUGUCUUUCACUUUGAAUGAUAUCGAUCUGCCAACCAACUGUAGUUAUCAUCACGUCCUUUGUUUACCAUGCUGGCUGAAAUUUUGGAAAGAGCAGGCGAUAUCUAGUUCAUAAUGAAGUUCCUUGCGUGCCUUACGUUAACAACACUGGUUUCUUUGAUUGUGGCUGUGCCAUUUCCAAGAGAAGACUUUACCAGAGAGCUUGGAAAAUCCGGUCAUUACGACAAAGCUGUUCCUCAUGAAGAGAAGAGAGCUCCUUUAUGUAGAAAUGCUGCAGGCGAAAUUUAUUGCCAGCUAGAAGUAUAUUACGAGGAUUCCUGCCUUUAUCAACCAGGAAUCAUGAAACAGAAUUGCAGAAGAAUGUGCGGAUUUUGCUAGGCCCGAUGCUGUCUGUAAAGAGUUGUCUAUUUCAUGUAUAUUGAAGCCUUUGUAGCAGUGAAACCAUACGAAAGUGGAACUCAGAAUGUGUUUCCAAAACUCGUUUUAAUAAUUGAGCUAAAUUAUCCGAAAUUCAAAUGCUCUUCUUUUUGUUCAUUAGUAAUGAACAGCGACAAAAUGUAAGUUUCAGACUCCGUUAAAUAAAAUGAACAAAAGAGAGAAAGUA